AAGUAUCUUCAGGGCAGGGUGAAAAUCCCGACCGGUGGUAAAGUCCACAAGCAUUUGCAUGAUUUGGUGAAAUUCCAAAACCGAUAGUACAGUCUAGAUGAAAGAAGAUUUGA
rfam:Firmicutes bacterium CAG:313 genomic scaffold, scf20